rnacentral:lncRNA from 1 species
UAAAAUUCCUUGUUAUUGUCGAUGAGAGCGUAGUGUAUCUCUAGAGAAUUGUGGGUAAUUCUAAUUUAGAAUUCAGAUGACAAGUUGUCGUUUUUCGAUCUAGUGUAAACCAAAAUUGAAGACUUUCCUGCAAAAUGGAAGAUUAUUAUGAUAUUUUAGAAUUACCUAGAAAUGCUUCAAAUGGUGAUAUAAAAAAGGCGUAUCGAAAAUUGGCUUUAAAAUGGCAUCCUGAUAAAAAUCCAGAUAGAAAAGAAGAAGCUGAACGUAGAUUUAAACAAAUUUCAGAAGCUUAUGAAGUACUUUCUGAUG